UCUUGUGAACGAGUUUGUAGCAGACAAACCUACAGUUCCUUAGUGCAGCGAUAAAAGCGUGUACGUAUUGUGACCUAUUUUACUGAAGCAAGACACUGUGGUAGAGAUAAAUGGAGAAGGACUUGAGCAAUUAUGUAUGUUAUUACUCAUGCCUUGUGCUAGGAUUAUUUGCCUCGCAAAUAAUACAAUCAUAAAGGAAUAAGAUCUUUUAGUAUCCUAAAUAUUGUUGAGAAUUAAUGAGUCUCACAUUGAUGGAAGCAGGGACCUUGCAUGGGCUUAUAAGUAAGAUGAGCUAUUUCCCAUAUUGCCAAUUAGUUUUAUGGUGGAAUCUCAACUUUCUUUAUUGUAUCAGAGCAGGUUGUCCCACGUAUGAAGCCAAAUAGCCACACUCGCUUCACGUACCCCGUUGUGUUGUUCACGGGCCACACGCGCUCUACGUACCCCGUUGUGUUGUUCAUAGGAUAUGCUUGAAAAUUCACCAUACAUAAAAUAGUGUGUUGAGAAUGAGUCCCACAUUGAUGGGAGCAAGGACCUUACAUAAAAUGGUGUGUUGAGAAUGAGUCCCACAUUGAUGGGAGCAAGGACCUUACAUGAGCUACUCCCCAUAUUGACAAUUAGUUUUAUGGUAGAAUCCCAACUUUUUUUCAAAUACAAUUGAUGACAUGUCAUUUGAUUUGUAAAUUUGGUUUAAAAAUUUGGCUCCCUUGCAUUAUUCAUAUCACAAUAUAAGGGAGUGCUGGCGAGUGAAAAACUGAAAGGGUUGAAAUCUAGGGCAGUUAAAAAAGCUGUAAUUCAUAUUUCACCACCAUACUCCCCUAACA
rnacentral:lncRNA from 1 species